GAUGAAGAACGUAGCGAAAUGCGAUAAGUAAUGUGAAUUGCAGAAUUCAGUGAAUCAUCGAAUCUUUGAACGCACAUUGCGCCCGCUAGUAUUCUGGCGGGCAUGCCUGUCCGAGCGUCAUUUCAACCCUCAAGCCCCCGGGCUUGGUGUUGGGGAUCCGCGAGCCUCCGCGCCCGCCGUCCCCUAAAUCUAGUGGCGGUCUCGCUGUAGCUUCCUCUGCGUAGUAGCACACCUCGCACUGGGAAACAGCGCGGCCACGCCGUUAAACCCCCAACUUCUGAACGUUUGACCUCGGAUCAGGUAGGAAUACCCGCUGAACUUAAGCAUAUCAAUAAGCGGAGGA
rnacentral:misc_RNA from 1 species